rnacentral:rRNA from 1 species
GACUCACGCGGGAAUCUUACCGGGUCCGGACACACUGAGGAUUGACAGGUUUCGAGAGUUUUUUUGGAGUUCGCUCCAGAAUGCUCUCUUAAAUAUGCUAGUCCUUUCAUGAUUAUGUGAUAGGUGGUGCAUGGCCGUUCUUAGUUCGUGGAGUGAUCUGUCUGCUUAAUUGCGUUUCACUAAAGGCGUCAUUAUAUUUUUGUGCUUGUGUUUGACCCCUCUUUCUUCGGAUUGAGCGCGUGUCUUUCACACACAAUUACUUUGACGUCUGAAAGCAACGAACGUGACCGUAACCUCUUGUUGCCUUCUCUUCUCUUCGGAGAAUGCUAGUUUUUUUCUUCGGAUAAAUUCUAGUAUAUGGAGGCUUUUACUCAAACUAGAGGGACCGCUGUUACUUUCUUU